UUGAGCCCGGUACGGUGAAAGUCGUACGCCGGGUUCUGAGGGGACGGUGGCGUAGUAAUACGCCGCUGUUACCCGAU
rnacentral:ncRNA from 1 species